rnacentral:misc_RNA from 1 species
GACGCUACAACCCAGUCAGUUUCAAACCAACUUGCAAUCACCCUUCGCGUCCCAAGAGGGGAGUCUGAUUGCACAGAGACGAAACCAGACUAGCGUCACUCACGUUCUCGGCGGAACCGGUUCGUGAGAUUUACUUUUUUACUUGCUAUCGAUGAUAAUUUUGGCACUGGUGAUGUUGGAGCAUAGACGUUGGUGCUCUUGGUGGUGGGAGGGAGGAGUGGAUUCGGGGGGACUUGUUUGCAAGACAGGAGGUGUGGGGAGAGUGAGGGGUGGUGGGUGGUGGAUGGUAGAUGAGGGGAGUUGGAAGGGGGUGGUGGAUGGCAGGUGAGGGGCGGUGGAAGGUGACGAGGGCUGGAAGACGAGGGGAGUUGGAAGGUGAUGAGCAGUGGAAGAUGAGGGGUGGUGGGAGGCCGUCAGCCGUGGAUUGUGGCUGCUUGGAGUGUGUGACGGAGAAAUCCUGGAACCUUCGGGUUGUUUGGCCUUCUAAUCACAUCCGUGUGUGGGGGAGAAAGCACUUCAACCUUUGGGUUGCGUGUCCUUCUCAAGCACAUCCGGGUGUGAGGGGAAAAGCACUGGAACCCUCGUUCUCAAUCACCUCUGUGUGCGAGGGAGAAAGUGCUCGAGUCUUCGGGUUGUGGUCUUCUCCAUCACAUCUUCCAGGGAUGGUGGAGGGAUGCCGGGAGAGGGCUGGGGCAUUGUAUGGGGUUGUUG